AGAGUUUGAUCUUGGCUCAGGAUGAACGCUAGCUACAGGCUUAACACAUGCAAGUCGAGGGGCAGCAUGUUGGUUGCUUGCAACCAACGAUGGCGACCGGCGCACGGGUGAGUAACGCGUAUCCAACCUACCCUUGUCCAUCGGAUAACCCGUCGAAAGGCGGCCUAACACGAUAUGCGGUUCACGGCAGGCAUCUAACGAGAACGAAAUGUGAAGGAGAAGGAUGGGGAUGCGUCUGAUUAGCUUGUUGGCGGGGUAACGGCCACCAAGGCUACGAUCAGUAGGGGUUCUGAGAGGAAGGUCCCCCACAUUGGAACUGAGACACGGUCCAAACUCCUACGGGAGGCA
rnacentral:rRNA from 1 species